GACGUAGGGCGCGAGCGUUGUCCGGAUUUAUUGGGCGUAAAGAGCUCGUAGGCGGUCUGUUGCGUCGGCUGUGAAAACCCGGGGCUCAACUCCGGGCCUGCAGCCGAUACGGGCAGACUAGAGUUCGGCAGGGGAGACUGGAAUUCCUGGUGUAGCGGUGAAAUGCGCAGAUAUCAGGAGGAACACCGGUGGCGAAGGCGGGUCUCUGGGCCGAUACUGACGCUGAGGAGCGAAAGCGUGGGGAGCAAACAGG
rnacentral:rRNA from 1 species